GUGGGGAAUUUUGGACAAUGGGCGCAAGCCUGAUCCAGCAAUGCCGCGUGCAGGAAGAAGGCCUUCGGGUUGUAAACUGCUUUUGUACGGAACGAAACGGUCCUGGUUAAUACCUGGGGCUAAUGACGGUACCGUAAGAAUAAGCACCGGCUAACUACGUGCCAGCAGCCGCGGUAAUACGUAGGGUGCGAGCGUUAAUCGGAAUUACUGGGCGUAAAGCGUGCGCAGGCGGUGCUGUAAGACAGGAGUGAAAUCCCCGGGCUAAACCUGGGAACUGCAUUUGUGACUGUAUAGCUAGAGUACGGCGGAGGGGGAUGGAAUUCCGCGUGUAGCAGUGAAAUGCGUAGAUAUGCGGAGGAACACCGAUGGCGAAGGCAAUCCCCUGGGCCUGUACUGACGCUCAUGCACGAAAGCGUGGGGAGCAAACAGGAUUAGAAACCCCUGUAGUCC
rnacentral:rRNA from 1 species